AUUGAACGCUGGCGGCAGGCCUAACACAUGCAAGUCGAACGAGUGGCGGACGGGUGAGUAAUGUCUGGGAAACUGCCUGAUGGAGGGGGAUAACUACUGGAAACGGUACCUAAUACCGCAUACCAUCGGAUGUGCCCAGAUGGGAUUAGCUUGUAGGUGGGGGAACGGCGCACCUAGGCGACGAUCCCUAGCUGGUCUGAGAGGAUGACCAGCGACACUGGAACUGAGACACGGUCCAGACUCCUACGGGAGUAAGCAGUGGGGAAUAUUGCACAAUGGGCGCAAGCCUGAUGCAGCCAUGCCGCGUGGAUGAAGAAGGCCUUCGGGUUGUAAAGUACUUUAAGCGGGGAGGCGUUACCCGCAGAAGAAGCACCGGCUAACUCCGUGCCAGCAGCCGCGGUAAUAC
rnacentral:rRNA from 1 species